CGAAUCUCCAGGCAAUCCGAUGAAAACAGCCAGGGACUUCCACUCUGCCUAAAAGCUCUUGUCUGCAAAGAAGCUGAGGCGAAGCAUGCAGAAUGCUAGGAAGUUGGAUCCUGCAUAAUCUUUAUGAUAUUCACAUUCAUCCGCAAAUGAAGAAUAAACAAACAGGGCGAUGUGGUCAGGAUUUCAAACAUGGAACAAGAAUUUGGGAUUAGGAUGGGAGCCCACUUUGAACAAAUGAAGAACAUGAUCUAGCUUCUAGUUUAAAAGGAAGACCGUUCAUGCUGCUCAGAAUAAACUCUAGGGGACAAAGCAGAAGCAAGUGACUGGGCAAGAGACUAUUGCAAUAAUUCAG
rnacentral:antisense_RNA from 1 species